rnacentral:rRNA from 1 species
CACUGCUAUCGGGGUUCGAUUAAGCCAUGCGAGUCGAGAGGGUUCAGACCCUCGGCGCACUGCUCAGUAACACGUGGAUAACCUACCCUGAGGAGGGGGAUAACCCCGGGAAACUGGGGAUAAUACCUCAUAGGUUUCAGAUGCUGGAAUGCUCUGAAACCGAAAUGCUCCGGCGCCUCAGGAUGGAUCUGCGGCCGAUUAGGUUGUUGUUGGGGUAACGGCCCAACAAGCCCGUCAUCGGUACGGGUUGUGAGAGCAAGAGCCCGGAGAUGGAUUCUGAGACACCAAUCCAGGCCCUACGGGGCGCAGCAGGCGCGAAACCUUUACAAUGCGAGCAAUCGUGAUAAGGGAACCCCGAGUGCCUGAAACCAGGCUGUUCAGGUGUUUAAAAAGCACCUGGAGAAAGGGCCGGGCAAGACCGGUGCCAGCCGCCGCGGUAAUACCGGCGGCUCGAGUGGUGGCCGCUAUUAUUGGGCUUAAAGCGUUCGUAGCUGGGUUGUUAAGUCUCUUGGGAAAUCUCACGGCUCAACCGUGAGGCGACUAAGAGAUACUGGCAAUCUUGGG